rnacentral:lncRNA from 1 species
GAGGGAUUUUCGCUGUGUUUCCCAAGUGGGCCUCGAACUCCUGGGCUCAAGUGAUACCCCCCACCUCAGCCUCGUGACUAGCUGGGAUUAAAGUCCUGGGCUCAAGUGAUACCCCCCACCUCAGCCUCGUGACUAGCUGGGAUUAAAGGUGUGCACCACUGCAACUGACUUUCAAUUCCUUUCUGACCAAAAUCUUUUAUUUCUAAAAAGAAAUCAAAGAAGUUAAAAUUCUAUAAAUGAUUAGUUACUGCUGUGCUUAAUUUAAAUGUUAUUUAUGAUUAUUUUUAUAGCUAAGAUCAUUGUUUCAUCUUUAGACAUCAAUGACCUCUUUAUAUAUUAAUGCUAUAAAAUGUUUCUUUGAUAAUUAUUUUUGAUAUUGCUUUUCCUAAAUAUAGGUUCCAAACACUUCAUAAUAAAAAUUUUAAGAUAUUAUUUUGUCUUAACUAUCUUUGGGGUUUCCCAGGAGUCUUCUGAGACACAAAAGAUUUGUUCCAAACUUUAUUAAAUGAAUAAUGCUACAAA